CAAUAGCGUAUAUUAAAGUUGUUGCAGUUAAAAAGCUCGUAGUUGAAUUUUUGCUUGCCGCCGAAGUCGGAACUUCCGUACGUUCGGCGGCGUGCAUCCUUGGGUGGAACCUGUGUGGCAUUAGGUUGUCGUGCAGGGGAUGCUCAUCGUUUACUGUGAAAAAAUUAGAGUGUUCAAAGCAGGCUUACGCCGUUGAAUAUAUUAGCAUGGAAUAAUAAGAUAGGACCUUGGUACUAUUUUGUUGGUUUGCGCACCGAGGUAAUGAUUAACAGGGACAGUUGGGGGUAUUCGUAUUCCAUUGUCAGAGGUGAAAUUCUUGGAUUUCUGGAAGACGAACUACUGCGAAAGCAUUUACCAAGGAUGUUUUCAUUAA
rnacentral:rRNA from 1 species